UUGCGCAGGGCCGUCCAAUAGGGCGCAGUAUCGUCCCGACCGUCGUCGCGUGCGCACGUUUUCGUUGUGUCUGGACUUGCAAAAACGCGCGUAAAAUCAGUCGCCGUCUCGCCGCUUCCCCUGUACGCUCGCUCACAUUCGGUGUCCUUGCGAGGGUAAGAUCCACACGAGACGCGUCUUCGCUAUCCAGCCUCCUACUUCCAUCGUUCUCUCUCUUUCUCUUUUUCUCUCUCUUUCCCUCUCUAUCUCUCUAUCUCUUUAUUUUUUUCUUUCUCUCUUUUUCUCUCAUUUUGUUUCUUUCCCUCUCAAUCUCUCUCCGUAUCUGCUUCUAUAUUCUCUAUAAUUUUUGCAUCCCCUCGCGCGGGUUUUCUUAUACUAUAUACUUGCGCGCCGCAUAAACAACAACAGAGAGCGCGAAACCGCCUACGCACGAGGAUCGUGGAAAGUGUGCGCUGCGACAAAAACGACAGAGCCGGAAAUCGAUUGGAGGACGAGCUAUAUAUUCUACGGAGAGCAUCCUAUUGGGUAAUGUCCGCCUGGAUGAAAUUCAUCAGUAUUAAGCGGCACGAUCACCCUCGAUGGACUCAAUUCUAAAAUUUAGGACGUUGCGGUCGAAGCGUUGCCUUGAGGUUUGAGGACAACGACAGGACGACAACGGAAGGAGAAGUUCGACGAAGGAGGGCGUGAGAGGGACUUUGAUCUCGGCUCUACAUCGAUGGAGCCGUCCUGAUGCAGACCGCGAAACUACGCGGGGAUUACCCGGCCUGGUCGUCGGGUUAAUUCCACCGACGGACCCCGACGAUCUCAGCGAGGAGCGAGCCACGCUGCUCUCUCAUCCCCGUCGACGGCGAUAGACCCAGCCACUUCCACUUCCUCCACCCCACGUGGCCGCACCAUCACCUGAUAAGAGAAACCAAGUACGAAAA